rnacentral:rRNA from 1 species
AGUGAACGCUGGCGGCGUGCCUAAUACAUGCAAGUCGAACGAACGAAUAAGAGCUUGCUCUUAUAAGUUAGUGGCGCACGGGUGAGUAAUAUAUAGCUAAUCUGCCUCUUAGUAGAGGAUAACAGUCGGAAACGAUUGCUAAUACUCUAUACUUCUGCUUUACAUAAGUAAAGUAGAGGAAGUUUUUCGCUAAGAGAUGAGGCUAUACUGUAUCAGCUAGUUGGUAAGGUAACGGCUUACCAAGGCUAUGACGCAUAACUGGUCUGAGAGGAUGAUCAGUCACAUUGGAACUGAGACACGGUCCAAACUCCUACGGGAGGCAGCAGUAGGGAAUAUUGCGCAAUGGGGGAAACCCUGACGCAGCAACGCCGCGUGGAGGAUGACACUUUUCGGAGCGUAAACUCCUUUUAUCGGGAAAGAAUAAUGACGGUACCCGAUGAAUAAGCAGCGGCUAACUCCGUGCCAGCAGCCGCGGUAAAAGGG